rnacentral:lncRNA from 1 species
AGUAUUUUUCUUGGAUCCUACAUAUUUCAGAGAGUUUAUACAAAAAUUCUCAUUAUUUUUGGAUCAUCACACAAUUUAUUACGCAAAUUCAAAUAUAAAACAAAAACUGCAUAAAAGAAAAAAAGAAAAGACACUGCAGCGGGUGGCCGGAUUUCGGCCCGCAGGCCGGCCCGCUUCGGCUCGGCCCGCGCGGUCGCUGCGCACGCCGCCUUCUCUCCGC